rnacentral:misc_RNA from 1 species
GAGAUUUUUUUCCUCAUCAUGUCACCAAUAGCCAAUAUGGCACCAUCAGGAUCAACCUCGAGUAGCUUCUCAACGAUCUUGGUAUAUGCAGUUUCGUGGCGCUUCUCGUCUGCAGCAAUUGAACCACAUAUCUGUGCUAGUUUCAUAUCCCCAUGCUCCUUGGCGAGCCUAGCUGUGUUACCAUGUGAAACAAAGGUAGCCCUUUCUUGGAAAGAAGUGUAGACGAAACCUAGAUAGG